GUCUUUUUUUUUUCUAGGGGAGCAUGCGCUGCUAGCCUGCUACUAACUCGUGGAUGGGCCCUUUACAAGAAAGAAAUCGCUCGAAUGGGCCAGUCCGACGUCAAUACCCAGGCUGGGGGCCCGGGACGACCGGCCCUCCUGCCAUUCAGGGCCGGGCCUGGCUGCCGCUGACGACCCUUGUUCCUCCUCCGGCGAGCACACUCCGCCGCCGCCGACCCCGACGAGGUUCUCCGGGCUCGACACCGCCCCUCCUCUCUCGGCAGCCCCACCUCGCCUUCCCCAGCUUCGGAUUCCGUCCCGUCGCCGCGCUGUUGCCGGGCGUAUUCGAUCCGAGCUCGAGCUCAGGCUCAGUGCAGCUUCGCCCGAAUUGCCCAGUCAUUAGCUCCAACCCCAGCCUAGUCCCGCUGGAUUUCGCUCGGGCUCUCGCUGAUGACCACCGCGCCAUUCGUCUCCCCGUCCCUCUCCCGACUACACCCCGAGCGGGCCUCUCCGUUCCCCAGAUCCUCGGCGAGGACAGGAGCCGGGGUCUCCUUCCCCGCUCGGCCGUGCGGGCCGUUGCUUCGCCUGAGGACGCUGUCAUGUCUGCCGGCGGCGUCGGCGUGAACGGCCCUCCGGUGGCGCCUGAAGACUACACAGUUUCCCUACUAGCGUCUUCUUAUUGCGUUCGAAAUCUUCAGUCUUGCCUUGCUUGUCAAGAGGUCAAGAGGGUAACAAAGGAGACGAAUGUGCAUGUCCGGCCUGGCAGACUGCAGCACAGGGAUACCGUUCUUGGAUCACAUGCUUGAUGUAUUUUGUUUUUUGACCUUUGGGUUUGUUUGAAGCAAGAAUGUGACAUCUCUCGCAUCUAGUUGAAUAAGGUUCUGUUCGGCAAUAGUCUGCUCCUUUGCCAAGGAGCGGAGCGGGCGGAGCGCCCAUCUGGCCGCUCGCAAAAAUUGCACUCUGCUCCGCAGCGGAGUUAGGAGCGGAGAGAUUACGAACGGCCUCUAAGUAUAGUAAUAACUUCUUUGUACAAAGAGGGGCAAAAUGGAACCUCCUAAUACAAAAUCCCUUAAAUUAAUUUUGUCCGUGAAAAACAUCUGGGUUCCUAUGAUGGAUGUGAUUCACAAAUGAGCCAGUGCGCCUGUGAGGAUCAACUCGAGCUGCAUAUGCACAAACGAGUUAGUGUCCGUAUGAAGAUCGAGUACGGUCGAGCUUGAGCUGAUGCUCAUAGGGGCACUAGCCCGUUUGUGAAUCACAUCCGUCAUAGGCACCAAGAUGUUGUUCACGGCCAAAAUUAAUUUAGUAGCAGCUUAUGAAUAAUUUAUUUUGCAGUCGUUGGCAAAAAAAUAUAUUUUAAUGACCUCUAGGUAAGGCUUGUAUGAAAUCAUCAAUAAUUUAUUUUUGUAGCCGCUUUGCUGACUAAGAAUGAAAUUAUGAAUUAGUAAAGAUAUGUUAUAUUAUUAUGAAGGUUUCCUACCGUCUGUUUCAACGCGACAUACAUCCGACAAAAUGUCCGUGACCGAACCAUAUUCGUCCGGUAUUUGCUCCGUAUUCAUACCCGUAGGCUCCGAUUCUGUAUUCGUAUCCGGGCGCUAUCCGCUCUGUCUCCGAAUCCGAGAAAAAUAUUGUCGCGGACAUGGUUUCACUACCCUCCGCUCGUAUUCUCUCUGAUUUCAGCCCUACAUAGGCCAUUUGUUUAUUAGUUUAUAGUGACAUAGGAAAAAAUUGGUUUUAGGGGAGAUGUUUAUGGACACCCUGUAAAACCACUUUUGGGGGGAGUUUUUUAUGGGGCUUGUUGGAGAGGUUCCAAGACACCAUUGGUACAACCCUGUUGUUUUUGGGAGAAAUUGAUGCAUACACAACUGAGUGUAUCAUACAAUGGCAUACAUAUGGUUAGUCUCUAGUGAUUUAUCAUACAAUGGCUGGCAACCCUGAGUGUAUCUUGCUCG